rnacentral:rRNA from 1 species
GGUUAAGCGACUAAGCGUACACGGUGGAUGCCCUGGCAGUCAGAGGCGAUGAAGGACGUGCUAAUCUGCGAAAAGCGUCGGUAAGGUGAUAUGAACCGUUAUAACCGGCGAUGUCCGAAUGGGGAAACCCAGUGUGAUUCGUCACACUAUCGUUAACUGAAUACAUAGGUUAACGAGGCGAACCGGGGGAACUGAAACAUCUAAGUACCCCGAGGAAAAGAAAUCAACCGAGAUUCCCCCAGUAGCGGCGAGCGAACGGGGAGCAGCCCAGAGUCUGAAUCAGCUUGUGUGUUAGUGGAACGGUCUGGAAAGUCCGACGGUACAGGGUGAUAGUCCCGUACACCAAAAUGCACAGGCUGUGAACUCGAAGAGUAGGGCGGGACACGUGGUAUCCUGUCUGAAUAUGGGGGGACCAUCCUCCAAGGCUAAAUACUCCUGACUGACCGAUAGUGAACCAGUACCGUGAGGGAAAGGCGAAAAGAACCCCGGCGAGGGGAGUGAAAAAGAACCUGAAACCGUGUACGUACAAGCAGUGGGAGCACCUUCGGGUGUGACUGCGUACCUUUUGUAUAAUGGGUCAGCGACUUAUAUUCUGUAGCAAGGUUAACCGUAUAGGGGAGCCGCAGGGAAACCGAGUCUUAACUGGGCGUUAAGUUGCAGGGUAUAGACCCGAAACCCGGUGAUCUAGCCAUGGGCAGGUUGAAGGUUGGGUAACACUAACUGGAGGACCGAACCGACUAAUGUUGAAAAAUUAGCGGAUGACUUGUGGCUGGGGGUGAAAGGCCAAUCAAACCGGGAGAUAGCUGGUUCUCCCCGAAAGCUAUUUAGGUAGCGCCUCGUGAAUUCAUCUUCGGGGGUAGAGCACUGUUUCGGCUAGGGGGUCAUCCCGACUUACCAACCCGAUGCAAACUACGAAUACCGAAGAAUGUUAUCACGGGAGACACACGGCGGGUGCUAACGUCCGUCGUGAAGAGGGAAACAACCCAGACCGCCAGCUAAGGUCCCAAAGUCAUGGUUAAGUGGGAAACGAUGUGGGAAGGCACAGACAGCCAGGAUGUUGGCUUAGAAGCAGCCAUCAUUUAAAGAAAGCGUAAUAGCUCACUGGUCGAGUCGGCCUGCGCGGAAGAUGUAACGGGGCUAAACCAUGCACCGAAGCUGCGGCAGCGACACUAUGUGUUGUUGGGUAGGGGAGCGUUCUGUAAGCCUGCGAAGGUGACCUGUGAGGGUUGCUGGAGGUAUCAGAAGUGCGAAUGCUGACAUAAGUAACGAUAAAGCGGGUGAAAAGCCCGCUCGCCGGAAGACCAAGGGUUCCUGUCCAACGUUAAUCGGGGCAGGGUGAGUCGACCCCUAAGGCGAGGCCGAAAGGCGUAGUCGAUGGGAAACAGGUUAAUAUUCCUGUACUUGGUGUUACUGCGAAGGGGGGACGGAGAAGGCUAUGUUAGCCGGGCGACGGUUGUCCCGGUUUAAGCAUGUAGGCUGGUUAUCCAGGCAAAUCCGGAUAAUCAAGGCUGAGGUGUGAUGACGAGGCACUACGGUGCUGAAGUAACAAAUGCCCUGCUUCCAGGAAAAGCCUCUAAGCAUCAGGUAACAUUAAAUCGUACCCCAAACCGACACAGGUGGUCAGGUAGAGAAUACCAAGGCGCUUGAGAGAACUCGGGUGAAGGAACUAGGCAAAAUGGUGCCGUAACUUCGGGAGAAGGCACGCUGGUGUGUAGGUGAAGUCCCUGCGGAUGGAGCUGAGACCAGUCGAAGAUACCAGCUGGCUGCAACUGUUUAUUAAAAACACAGCACUGUGCAAACACGAAAGUGGACGUAUACGGUGUGACGCCUGCCCGGUGCCGGAAGGUUAAUUGAUGGGGUUAUCCGUAAGGAGAAGCUCUUGAUCGAAGCCCCGGUAAACGGCGGCCGUAACUAUAACGGUCCUAAGGUAGCGAAAUUCCUUGUCGGGUAAGUUCCGACCUGCACGAAUGGCGUAAUGAUGGCCAGGCUGUCUCCACCCGAGACUCAGUGAAAUUGAACUCGCUGUGAAGAUGCAGUGUACCCGCGGCAAGACGGAAAGACCCCGUGAACCUUUACUAUAGCUUGACACUGAACAUUGAGCCUUGAUGUGUAGGAUAGGUGGGAGGCUUUGAAGCGUGGACGCCAGUCUGCGUGGAGCCAACCUUGAAAUACCACCCUUUAAUGUUUGAUGUUCUAACGUUGGCCCCUUAUCGGGGUUGCGGACAGUGUCUGGUGGGUAGUUUGACUGGGGCGGUCUCCUCCCAAAGCGUAACGGAGGAGCACGAAGGUUAGCUAAUCCUGGUCGGACAUCAGGAGGUUAGUGCAAUGGCAUAAGCUAGCUUGACUGCGAGCGUGACGGCGCGAGCAGGUGCGAAAGCAGGUCAUAGUGAUCCGGUGGUUCUGAAUGGAAGGGCCAUCGCUCAACGGAUAAAAGGUACUCCGGGGAUAACAGGCUGAUACCGCCCAAGAGUUCAUAUCGACGGCGGUGUUUGGCACCUCGAUGUCGGCUCAUCACAUCCUGGGGCUGAAGUAGGUCCCAAGGGUAUGGCUGUUCGCCAUUUAAAGUGGUACGCGAGCUGGGUUUAGAACGUCGUGAGACAGUUCGGUCCCUAUCUGCCGUGGGCGCUGGAGAAUUGAGGGGGGCUGCUCCUAGUACGAGAGGACCGGAGUGGACGCAUCACUGGUGUUCGGGUUGUCAUGCCAAUGGCACUGCCCGGUAGCUAAAUGCGGAAGAGAUAAGUGCUGAAAGCAUCUAAGCACGAAACUUGCCCCGAGAUGAGUUCUCCCUGAGACUUUAAGUCUCCUGAAGGAACGUU